rnacentral:lncRNA from 10 species
CUGAAAUGCAAACAAGGAAACAGAAGCUUCUAGGCAUCAGAAGGUGUGGGGAGCAGCACAGUACUCAGAGGAGUGAGGAGCGUGGCGCCUGCUGGGAGGAAGGCCUGGCCAUGAUGAGUGGCCAACUCUGGAGCCCAGGAUGUUGCUUCCCAGUCUGGUGGUGAAUCCUCCACAAUCUGAGCUGGCCCUCUGGUGCCCAAAGCAGACUCCUGGGGUCCCUGUAUUGGGCACUUACCCACUUCCUGCUGGCCGCAGCAUGACACCUGAUGCUCCUAGAGCAGCCAACUGAAUUCCAGAAGAAAGGCUUCAGUGGUGUGUUUUCCAGAAGGAACCUGGCUCCUAGGAUUAACAGUUGGGUCAAAUCUCAAAAACUCUUUGCCCUUAACUACUGAAAACUUCCAGCAUCUAUAGCAGUCAUAGUCACAAGAUUUCCUUUAAAUUUUUCAGCAAUUGUUUUCCUAAGGCAUUCUGUAAAGUCUGGCUUGAAGUUUGUUUAGUUGAGAUAAAAAUGUGUUUGACUGCACUCCAGCCUGAGAGACAGAGUGACAUACUGUCUCAAAAAUAAAUAAACAAAUAAGUUUUUUAAAACAU